UACGUAUGGUGCAAGCGUUAUCCGGAUUUACUGGGUGUAAAGGGAGCGUAGGCGGCGCGUUAAGUCUGAUGUGAAAACCCGAGGCUCAACCACGGGAGUGCAUUGGAAACUGGCGUGCUGGAGUGCCGGAGAGGUAAGCGGAAUUCCUUGUGUAGCGGUGAAAUGCGUAGAUAUUAGGAGGAACACCAGUGGCGAAGGCGGCUUACUGGACGGCAACUGACGCUGAGGCUCGAAAGCGUGGGGAGCAAACAGG
rnacentral:rRNA from 1 species